CAGUCGCCGCGGGAAAACGGAGGGUGCAAGCGUUAAUCGGAAUUACUGGGCGUAAAGCGCACGCAGGCGGUCUGACAAGUCAGAUGUGAAAUCCCCGGGCUUAACCUGGGAACUGCAUUUGAAACUGUCAGGCUGGAGUCUUGUAGAGGGGGGUAGAAUUCCAGGUGUAGCGGUGAAAUGCGUAGAUAUCGGAAGGAACACCAGUGGCGAAGGCGGCUACCUGGACUGAGACUGACACUGAGGCGCGAGAGCGUGGGGAGCAAACAGGAUUAGAUACCCCGGUAGUCCCUGUCUCUUAUAC
rnacentral:rRNA from 1 species